UAUUAUGGAUCUCCAAUUAUCUUAACAUUGAGACUGCAACAAUUCAGGAGGGAUAGAAAUCUGAUCCUUGGGGGUGAUGCCAUCUAGUGGACAGGUGUUCAGGCUCCAUAGCACACCUACGGCCCUGACAUUGCUGUUAUCCUUGAAGGUCACCCCGGGACCCUCCAGCACACACCCUGUGAAGUCCCUCCCAAUCACCAACCCCUCGUGUCCAGUCAAGUCAAUGGUGAACAAACUGGAUUGGUACACAAACUGGAGCCAUCUUUUGAAACAGUAAACAAAGAGAUGAUAAAGAAAAGUCCAAAUGUAAAG